rnacentral:tRNA from 1 species
AUUACUUUAACAAACAAAGUGUAUUAAAUUUAGAAUUUAAGUAUGUAAUAUAAUAUUACAAGUAAUA